CAAGUGCAAAAGUUUUUCUUUUUAAAACCAAUUUCAAUGAUGAUUCCCAGCAGGUUGCUGUACUCGGCUGGUGUUCUCUGCAAAUCAUCUGGACAGCUGAGACCGUGAAAUUGAUCCAGACGGUGACCCUUGAGAAAAGCCCGGUGCCCUUAAUGGCCAUAUGUGUAGACCACGUCAAAUCCUGUCCUUCUUUUGCUACUGUGGAAUGAGAAAAAUGUCCCCGUCUGAAGGGGUGUGCUGUGCCAGCAGAAUGAGGAGUCUAACUGUGGUCUAGUCCCA
rnacentral:lncRNA from 11 species